UACGGAGGGGGCGAGCGUUAUUCGGAAUCAUUGGGCGUAAAGGGCGCGUAGGCGGCCCCGCAAGUCUUGGGUGAAAGCCCUCGGCUCAACCGAGGAAUUGCCUUGGAUACUGCGGGGCUCGAGGCUGGAAGAGGACAGUGGAAUUCCGAGUGUAGAGGUGAAAUUCGUAGAUAUUCGGAGGAACACCAGUGGCGAAGGCGGCUCACUGGUUCAUUACUGACGCUGAGGUGCGAAAGCGUGGGGAGCAAACAGG
rnacentral:rRNA from 1 species